AACGAACGCUGGCGGCAUGCCUAACACAUGCAAGUCGAACGAGACGUUCGGGCUUAGUGGCGCACGGGUGCGUAACGCGUGGGAACCAGCCCUUAGGUUCGGAAUAACUCCCCGAAAGGUGAGUUAAUCCCGGAUGAUGUAUUCCGGCCAAAGAGUUAUCGCGUUUGGAUGGGGCCGCGUUGGUUUAGCUAGUUGGUAGGGUAAAAGCCUACCAAGGCGACGAUCCAUAGCUGGUCUGAGAGGAUGAUCAGCCACACUGGGACUGAGACACGGCCCAGACUCCGACGGGAAGCAGCAGUGUGGAAUAUUGUGGAAGGGGCGAUAGCGUGGUCCAGCAACGUCGCGUGAGUGAUGAAGGCGUUAGGAUUGUAAAGCUCUCUGAGACGGGACGAGAGUGACAGUACCGGGAGAAUAAGCUCCGGCUAACUCCGUG
rnacentral:rRNA from 1 species